GGACAAUACGACGAACGGUUGGAGAACUCUCUCCCUCUCCCUCCUCCGAGUAAACCAGAGAGAAGAAGGAAGAGCGGGUGAUAGGUAGAUGAGUUCUUCUUCUUCGCCUCAUCGUUCUAGAGGCGGUGGUGCUAACAGCAAUAGCAGUGGUAGUAAUGUUGAGGACAGGCCGAGGUUUUUCGACUCGAACACGAAGCGCAAGUGCUGGGCAAAGGCAGAGACGCUUAUAGGAAGACAUCCAGAGAGGUGGCGCAAGGACGCAGCGGGCAACAUCGUCUGCAAGCGCUUCUGCAACUGUCAGGGCUGCCUCUGCUUUGAGUACGAUCACAUCGUCCCCUUCUCCAAAGGUGGUGAAUCUACAUAUGAUAAUUGUCAGAUACUUCAAACAAGGGUGAAUAGAUUUAAAUCAGACAAAGACAGUGUGGAUCCAACUCAAUUGAGAGGUUACUCCUGUGAUAUCAAGUUUACAGGAUAUGUUGGACGUGGGUUGGUCAACCUAUUUUUUCCUUGUGGGAGGUACCUAGCAGCCGAAUUUGAGCUCCAUGGCCUUUCCUUCCCUUUGGAAUUCUUCAUAUCUACCUCGUAAGAAGCGGUGGCUUGGUUGAAAAUGUGACAGGUUCCUCUUCAAAGUUCAAUUCAUUCGAUUUCAGGCAAGAAAUGGAUGGAAUCAGGAGGGACUUUCAUUAUAAGGAGCUUGAUAUAAUUGAAAUGGCUGUUUAUGGAGAUGUGAUCCGGCCGGGAAAGGAAUGUCGUUGCAGAACUGUUGCUGAAAUGCUUGGC